AUUAUCUUGUAAAAACGUGAAAAUUAUCUUGUAAAAACGUGAUACCUUAUCCAGAUGGUGGCGCUAGUAUGCUUUUAGUCUGUAUUGACCGCAAGACUCAUUUAAAGAGAAGAAAAGAAGAAGUUUUGCCUUGCAAGUACAUUGUAGAGAAAGGAUGGCUGAAAAGUUGGACAACGCUUUGCUGCGAUUCCUACGAAACCGUGGCGUACCAGAAGAGUGUCUGUCACGCAUGCAAGAAGACCGUAUUGACGCAACAGUUAUUGACUGCAUGGAUGAUGGCACUCUAUCUGGUUACAUCCCAACAUAUGGGGAUCGCAUAGCAGCAAGACGCUUCAGUUUGGAAAGUAAAGGUACAAA